rnacentral:lncRNA from 1 species
AUGAGCCAUUCGCAGUUUCACUGUACCGGCCGUGCGUACUUAGACAUGCAUGGCUUAAUCUUUGAGACAAGCAUAUGCUACUGGCAGGAUCAACCAGGUAGGAGACGGUGGGACAGCGGGCCAGGUGGACCCCAGCGCAAGGCGUGCGUGCUUGCAGGGCGGUUGACAGCGGGGUGGGGGCGGAGGCGCACCCCAGGGACCCAGCGGCCCACCACACCCGCAGCGAGGACCGACGACGGGCCGCCCGACAACUCGACCGAGGGCACAAGCGGCGCGGGGCCGCACCGCGGCGUCGCGGAGGGACGAGGGGGAAGCCCCAAGCUCCCCACCACCACCACACCCCAGACACGGACCUCCCCUCGACGGCCCGGGGCACCGAGCAGUCACGUCGGGACCGGCCGACACGCGCGCGCCCUCGCUCGAGCGGACAGGAGAGGGGUGGCAACGAGGGCCAAGGCCAAGGCCCAAGGCCCUCCCCCCACCCACCCACCCACCCAGGAGCGGCACGGCUAUGACGGCCGGCCCGCAGCGGCUAGCCGGGUCCCGACUCGCGCUCAGGUGAGCUCAGCAGAGCUGGGAGGGAGGGGCACGCGGCGGGGGGGGGGGGGUGGCAGAAGGCCACCCCUCGACCACACGCAACGACGCCGGCGGACAGGCGGGGGCAAGGAAGCGGCGGCGGGCACGGAGCGGGGCCGCAGCGGGCCCAGGAAAGCGAGACGCACCAGGACGCCGGUCCGGGGUCGGCAGAUGGGGACCAGACAGACGGGAGGUCAGACAGACGAGCGGGAGCGAGGAGGGCGAACGUGGGAGCGGCCGGCAUCGAGAGAGAUGCCACAAAGGGACGGUGGCGGAGGGGGCGGCCGCAGGCCUCCAACGAGGUGGGGGGGGCACGGGGACCAUCCCCAAAAACCGGAUGCGAGUCGGCUGCCAGGGCACCACACGGGGUCUCACCGCCAGAGGCCUCCAGCACAACGGCGGUCCCGCCGCAACACCCAGGACGCCGACUGGCCUCCCCUCAGCCCUGGGGGCCCCCCUCGCGGGGCCCCACGACCGCCACCGACGACACCGAUGAGCCACAGCCGGCCCCGUGGAAACAAGUCUCCCAAGGCACCUACCGACGACCACCCCCACACCCCACACGCACCCGCCGUGCCCAACCCUCUUCCCCCCCCCCCGCGCACAGGGGGACACCCGAGAAGCACAUCACCCAGGGACACCCGCCCGGCCACGGCGGCCAGGGGGUGA